rnacentral:ncRNA from 1 species
CAAAAGGCUCUUUUAAGAGCCACACAAAUUAUUUUAAAAGAUGAAAU